CACAUGCAUUGGAUUCUUACACAUUUUUACCAUAAAAACACUAACAAAACUGUUUAGUACUUCUAAGCAAUUUUUUUUUGGUUUUACCCUCUUUUGGGAGAAAAUGGGUAUAAGUGUUGUCUAAACACUCUAAUCCAUCCCUAACUCUUAUAAUUAGUCAAAUGCAUUGGAUUGUGACACAUUUUGACCAUAACAACACUAACAAAACUGUUUACGGCUUUUAAGCAAUUUUUUGUAGGUUUUAGUCUGUUUUAGGAGAAAAUGGGUAUAAGUGUUGUCUAAACACUCCUAAUCCAUCUCUAACUUUUAUAAUUAGUCAAAUGCAUUGGAUUCUGACACAUUUUGACCAUAAAAACACUUACAAAACUGUUUACUGCUUCUAAGCAAUGUUUUGUUGGUUUUAGCCUCUUUUGGGAGAAAAUGGGUAUAAGUAUUGUCUAAGCACUCCUAAUCUAUCUCUAACUCUUAUAAUUAGUCAAAUGCAUUGGAUUCUUACACAUUUUAACCAUAAAAACACUAACAAAACUGUUUAGUACUUAUAAGCAAUUUUUUGUUGGUUUUAGCCUCUUUUGGGAGAAAAUGGGUAUACGUGUAGUCUAAACACUCUAAUCCAUCCCUAACUCUUAUAAUUAGUCAAAUGCAUUGGAUUGUGACACAUUUUGACCAUAAAAACACUUACAAAACUGGUUAGUGCUUUUAAGCAAUUGUUUGUUGGUUUUACUCUGUUUUAGGAGAAAAUGGGUAUAAGUGUUGUCUAAACACUCCUAAUCCAUCUCUAACUCUUAUAAUUAGUUAAAGGCUUUGGAUUGUGACACAUUUUGACCAUAGAAACACUAACAAAGCUAUUUACUGCUUCUAAGUUAUUUUUUGUUGGUUUUAGCCUCUUCUGAGAGAAAAUGGGUAUAAGUGUUGUCCAAACACUCCUAAUCUAUCUUUAUCUCUUAUAAUAAGUCAAAUGCAUUGGAUUGUGACACAUUUAGACCAUAGAAAACACUAACAAAGCUAUUUACUGCUUUUAAGCAAUUUUUUGUUGGUUUUAGCCUCUUUUGGGACAAAAUGGGUAUAAGUGUUGUCUAAACACUCCUAAUCCAUCUCUAACUCUUAUGAUUAGUCAAAUGCAUUGGAUUCUGACACAUUUUGACCAUAAAAACACUAACAAAAGUGUUUACUGCUUCUAAGCAAUGUUUUGUUGGUUUUAGCCUCUUUUGGGAGAAAAUAGGUAUUAAGUAUUGUCUAAAAACUCCUAAUCCAUUUCUAACUCUUAUAAUUAGUCACAUGCAUUGGAUUCUUACACAUUUUUACCAUAAAAACACUAACAAAACUGUUUAGUACUUCUAAGCAAUUUUUAUUUGUUUUACCCUCUUUUGGGAGAAAAUGGGUAUAAGUGUUGUCUAAACACUCUAAUCCAUCCCUAACUCUUAUAAUUAGUCAAAUGCAUUGGAUUGUGACACAUUUUGACCAUAACAACACUAACAAAACUGUUUACGGCUUUUAAGCAAUUUUUUGUAGGUUUUAGUCUGUUUUAGGAAAAAAUGGGUAUAAGUGUUGUCUAAACACUCCUAAUCCAUCUCUAACUCUUAUAAUUACAUAAAGGCUUUGGAUUGUGACACAUUUUGACCAUAGAAACACUAACAAAGCUAUUUACUGCUUCUAAGUUAUUUUUUGUUGGUUUUAGCCUCUUUUGGGAGAAAAUGGGUAUAAGUAUUGUCUAAGCACUCCUAAUCUAUCUCUAACUCUUAUAAUUAGUCAAAUGCAUUGGAUUCUUACACAUUUUGACCAUAAAAACACUAACAAAACUGUUUAGUACUUAUAAGCAAUUUUUUGUUGGUUUUAGCCUCUUUUGGGAGAAAAUGGGUAUACGUGUUGUCUAAACACUCUAAUCCAUCCCUAACUCUUAUAAUUAGUCAAAUGCAUUGGAUUAUGACACAUUUUGACCAUAAAAACACUUACAAAACUGGUUAGUGCUUUUAAGCAAUUUUUUGUUGGUUUUACUCUGUUUUAGGAGAAAAUGGGUAUAAGUGUUGUCUAAACACUCCUAAUCCAUCUCUAACUCUUAUAAUUAGUUAAAGGUUUUGGAUUGUGACACAUUUUGACCAUAGAAACACUAACAAAGCUAUUUACUGCUUCUAAGUUAUUUUUUGUUGGUUUUAGCCUCUUCUGAGAGAAAAUGGGUAUAAGUGUUGUCCAAACACUCCUAAUCUAUCUUUAUCUCUUAUAAUAAGUCAAAUGCAUUGGAUUGUGACACAUUUAGACCAUAGAAAACACUAACAAAGCUAUUUACUGCUUUUAAGCAAUUUUUUGUUGGUUUUAGCCUCUUUUGGGACAAAAUGGGUAUAAGUGUUGUCUAAACACUCCUAAUCCAUCUCUAACUCUUAUGAUUAGUCAAAUGCAUUGGAUUCUGACACAUUUUGACCAUAAAAACACUAACAAAAGUGUUUACUGCUUCUAAGCAAUGUUUUGUUGGUUUUAGCCUCUUUUGGGAGAAAAUAGGUAUUAAGUAUUGUCUAAAAACUCCUAAUCCAUUUCUAACUCUUAUAAUUAGUCACAUGCAUUGGAUUCUUACACAUUUUUACCAUAAAAACACUAACAAAACUGUUUAGUACUUCUAAGCAAUUUUUUAUUGGUUUUACCCUCUUUUGGGAGAAAAUGGGUAUAAGUGUUGUCUAAACACUCUAAUCCAUCCCUAACUCUUAUAAUUAGUCAAAUGCAUUGGAUUGUGACACAUUUUGACCAUAACAACACUAACAAAACUGUUUACGGCUUUUAAGCAAUUUUUUGUAGGUUUUAGUCUGUUUUAGGAGAAAAUGGGUAUAAGUGUUGUCUAAACACUCCUAAUCCAUCUUUAACUCUUAUAAUUAGAUAAAGGCUUUGGAUUGUGACACAUUUUGACCAUAGAAACACUAACAAAGCUAUUUACUGCUUCUAAGUUAUUUUUUGUUGGUUUUAGCCUCUUUUGAGAGAAAAUGGGUAUAAGUGUUGUCCUAAUACUCCUACUCUAUCUUUCUCUCUUAUAAUUAGUCAAAUGCAUUGGAUUGUGAUACAUUUUUACCAUAGAAAACACUAACAAAGCUAUUUACUACUUCUAAGCAAUUUUUUGUUGGUUUUAGCCACUUUUGGGACAAAAUGGGUAUAAGUGUUGUCCAAACACUCCUAAUAUAUCUUUAACUGAUAGAAUUAAUCAAAUAAAUUGGAUUGUGAUACAUUUUGACCAUGGAAACACUAACAAAGCUAUUUACUGCUUCUAAGCAAUUUGUUUUUAUUGGUUUUAGACUAUUUUAAAGAGAAAAUAGGUAUAAGUGUUGUCUAAACACUCCUAAUCCAUCUAUAACUCUUAUAAUUAGUCAAAUGCUUUGGAGUUUGACACAUUUUGACCAUAGAAACACAAACAAAGCUAUUUACUGCUUUUAAGCAAUUUUUUGUUGGUUUUAGCCUCUUUUGGGACAAAAUGGGUAUAAGUGUUGUCUAAACACUCCUAAUCCAUCUCUAUCUCUUAUAAUUAGUCAAAUGCAUUGGAUUCUGACACAUUUUGACCAUAAAAACACUUACAAAACUGUUUACUGCUUCUAAGCAAUGUUUUGUUGGUUUUAGCCUCUUUUGGGAGAAAAUGGGUAUAAGUAUUGUCUAAGCACUCCUAAUCUAUCUCUAACUCUUAUAAUUAGUCAAAUGCAUUGGAUUCUUACACAUUUUGACCAUAAAAACACUAACAAAACUGUUUAGUACUUAUAAGCAAUUUUUUGUUCUUUUAGCCUCUUUUAGGAGAAAAUGGGUAUACGUGUUGUCUAAACACUCUAAUCCAUCCCUAACUCUUAUAAUUAGUCAAAUGCAUUGGAUUGUGAAACAUUUUGACCAUAAAAACACUAACAAAACUGGUUAGUGCUUUUAAGCAAUUUUUUGUUGGUUUUACUCUGUUUUAGGAGAAAAUAGGUAUAAGUGUUGUCUAAACACUCCUAAUCCAUCUCUAACUCUUAAAAUUAGUUAAAGGUUUUGAAUUGUGACAAAUUUUGACCAUAGAAACACUAACAAAGCUAUUUACUGCUUCUAAGUUAUUUUUUGUUGGUUUUAGCCUCUUCUGGGAGAAAAUGGGUAUAAGUGUUGUCUAAACACUCCUAAUUCAUCUCUAACUCUUAUAAUUAGUCAAAUGCAUUGGAUUGUGACACAUUUUGACCAUAAAAACACUAACAAAACUGUUCACUGCUUUUAAGCAAUUUUUUGUUGGUUUUAGUCUGUUUUAGGAGAAAAUGGGUAUAAGUGUUGUCUAAACACUCCUAAUCCAUCUCUAACUCUUAUAAUUAGUUAAAGGCUUUGGAUUGUGACACAUUUUGACCAUAGAAACACUAACAAAGCUAUUUACUGCUUCUAAGUUAUUUUUUGUUGGUUUUAGCCUCUUCUGGGAGAAAUUGGGUAUAAGUGUUGUCCAAACAUUCCUAAUCUAUCUUUAUCUCUUAUAAUUAGUCAAAUGCAUUGGAUUGUGACACAUUUUGACCAUAGAAACACUAACAAAACUGGUUAGUGCUUUUAAGCAAUUUUUUGUUGGUUUUACUCUGUUUUAGGAGAAAAUGGGUAUAAGUGUUGUCUAAACACUCCUAAUCCAUCUCUAACUCUUAUAAUUAGUUAAAGGCUUUGGAUUGUGACACAUUUUGACCAUAGAAACACUAACAAAGCUAUUUACUGCUUCUAAGUUAUUUUUUGUUGGUUUUAGCCUCUUCUGAGAGAAAAUGGGUAUAAGUGUUGUCCAAACACUCCUAAUCUAUCUUUAUCUCUUAUAAUAAGUCAAAUGCAUUGGAUUGUGACACAUUUAGACCAUAGAAAAUACUAACAAAGCUAUUU
rnacentral:sRNA from 1 species